GGUUGAUCCUGCCAGUAGCAUAUGCUUGUCUCAAAGAUUAAGCCAUGCAUGUCUAAGUAUAAACACCUUUAUACUGUGAAACUGCGUACAGCUCAUUACAUCAGUUAUUAUUUCCUUGAAUGUCACUUACUACAUGGAUACCCGUAGUAAUUCUAGAGCUAAUACAUGCGUAAAGUCCCGACUUAUCGGAAGGGAUGUAUUUAUUAGAUUUCCAAGCCAGCCGGUGAGGGGGGCAACCUCUUCACUCUCAUGGUGAUUCAUAGUAACUGUAGCGAAUCGCGGGUUUUCCCGC
rnacentral:rRNA from 1 species